CUGAUUUAGGCCUACACCAGCACUGGUAUCAGGCUGUUUUAGCUAGCUAUGUUUGCUCUAACUCAGUACAUUUAUUAACUAGCUUGCUAGCCAGCUAACUAGUGAUUAGCAUUAGCAGCUAACGCGAUGUAGCUAAAACUUGAUAAGAAAAGACAAACCAGCUGUUUGCAAUGUAAGGAAAAACUAAUAGUGCAGUUAUACACCACUUGUGGACUUAUAUUAAGAAGAAAAGUGGAAACAUCGUUGUCAUCAACAUUGUUGCAUGUGCUGAAAAUGAGCAUGUACCUGUGCGAAAGAGAGGCUAUGAUAGAGUAGCAGUGGCACACAAGGUCUCAUCUGGUGACAUGGAGUCUGAGCUUGCUAAACAUAUCAAAAAUCUAACGGAACAGUUUACAGAACAUCUCACAGAACAGUAGCCUCAAAUGCAGAGAACCUGCCUAUGAAUUGGCACAUCGAAACAACAUCCCUGUCCCAAACAACUGCUCAAGAAAUGGAAGGGCCCACCCCUCCUCCACGUCUGGCGUACACGGUGGGACGCCUCCUGAGGGUUUGACCUUGAGGCAGGGGUUUCCAGUACCUGGUUGACUGGGAGGGUUAUGGCCUUGAGGAGAGGUGCUGGAUCCCAGCUAAGGACAUCCUGGACCUGGCCCUCAUUGCCGAGUUCCACUGCCAGCACCCCGGUCAAGCAGGCUCUCCAGAGGGUGGUGCGGUCUGCCAAACACAUUACCAGGGGCAAACGACCCGCCCUCCAGGACACCUACAGCACCCGAUGUCACAGGAAGGCCAAAAAGAUCAUCAAGUACAUCAACCACCCGAGCCACGGCCUGUUCACCC